UACGGGGGGGGUAAGCGUUGUUCGGAAUUACUGGGCGUAAAGGGCUCGUAGGCGGCCAACUAAGUCAUACGUGAAAUCCCUCAGCUUAACUGGGGAACUGCGUGUGAUACUGGUUGGCUUGAAUCCGGGAGAGGGAUGUGGAAUUCCAGGUGUAGCGGUGAAAUGCGUAGAUAUCUGGAGGAACACCGGUGGCGAAGGCGACAUCCUGGACCGGUAUUGACGCUGAGGCGCGAAAGCCAGGGGAGCAAACGGG
rnacentral:rRNA from 1 species